rnacentral:rRNA from 1 species
UACGAACUGCGCGAACGUUAUUCGGAUUCACUGGGCUUAAAGGGUGCGUAGGCGGCUUGUUAAGUGGGAUGUGAAAUUUUGCGGCUCAACCGUAAGACUGCAUCUCAUACUGGCAAGCUUGAGUGAGUCAGGGGUGUGUGGAACUGCCAGUGGAGCGGUGAAAUGUGUUGAUAUUGGCAGGAACGCCGGUGGCGAAAGCGACACACUGGGGCUUAACUGACGCUGAGGCACGAAAGCCAGGGGAGCAAACGGG